GAUAACCUCCGUGGAAAGAGGGGUAUAAUACCCGAUAGGUCUCGAUUGCUGGAAUGCAUCGAGAUUUAAAGCUCCGGCGCCUAAGGAUGGGUCUGCGGCCUAUCAGGUAGUAGUGGGUGUAGCGUACCUACUAGCCUACGACGGGUACGGGUUGUGAGAGCAAGAGCCCGGAGAUGGAUUCUGAGACACGAAUCCAGGCCCUACGGGGUGCAGCAGGCGCGAAAACUUUACAAUGCUGGCAACAGCGAUAAGGGAACCUCGAGUGCCAGGUUACAAAUCUGGCUGUCGAGAUGCCUAAAAAGCAUUUCAUAGCAAGGGCCGGGCAAGACCGGUGCCAGCCGCCGCGGUAACACCGGCGGCUCGAGUGGUAACCGUUAUUAUUGGGUCUAAAGGGUCUGUAGCCGGCCGGAUAAGUCUCUUGAGAAAUCUGGCAGCUUAACUGUCAGGCUUUCAGGAGAUACUGUCUGGCUCGAGGCCGGGAGAGGUGAGAGGUACUUCAGGGGUAGGGGUGAAAUCUUGUAAUCCUUGAAGGACCACCAGUGGCGAAGGCGUCUCACCAGAACGGACCUGACGGCAAGGGACGAAAGCUAGGGGCACGAACCGGAUUAGAUACCCGGGUAGUCCUAGCCGUAAACGAUACUCGCUAGGUGUCGGCCACGGUGCGACCGUUGUCGGUGCCGUAGGGAAGCCGUGAAGCGAGCCACCUGGGAAGUACGGCCGCAAGGCUGAAACUUAAAGGAAUUGGCGGGGGAGCACCACAACGGGUGGAGCUUGCGGUUUAAUUGGAUUCAACGCCGGAAAUCUUACCGGGACCGACAGCAAUAUGAACGCCAGGCUGAGACUUUGCCGGAUUAGCUGAGAGGUGGUGCAU
rnacentral:rRNA from 1 species